AGGAGGAGGUCCCCAAUGAUGCGCAGCAUCAUUUUUGCAUGGGACCGACGACUUGCCGCCGAAACGUAGCUGAGGGGGCCGUUCAGAUG
rnacentral:sRNA from 12 species